rnacentral:rRNA from 1 species
ACUGACACUGAGGUGCGAAAGCGUGGGAGCAAACGGGAUUAGAUACCCCGGUAGUGCACGCCGUAAACGAUGUCUACUAGCCGUUGGAGGACUUGAUCCUUUAGUGGCGCAGCUAACGCGAUAAGUAGACCGCCUGGGGAGUACGGUCGCAAGAUUAAAACUCAAAUGAAUUGACGGGGGCCCGCACAAGCGGUGGAGCAUGUGGUUUAAUUCGAAGCAACGCGAAGAACCUUACCUACUCUUGACAUCCAGUGAACUUUUGAGAGAUCAAUUGGUGCCUUCGGGAACACUGAGACAGGUGCUGCAUGGCUGUCGUCAGCUCGUGUUGUGAAAUGUUGGGUUAAGUCCCGUAACGAGCGCAACCCUUGUCCUUAGUUACCAUCAUUAAGUUGGGGACUCUAAGGAGACUGCCGGUGACAAACCGGAGGAAGGCGGGGACGACGUCAAGUCAUCAUGGCCCUUACGAGUAGGGCUACACACGUGCUACAAUGGCAUGUACAAAGGGUUGCCAAGCCGCGAGGUGGAGCUAAUCCCAUAAAGCAUGUCGUAGUCCGGAUUGGAGUCUGCAACUCGACUCCAUGAAGUCGGAAUCGCUAGUAAUCGUGAAUCAGAAUGUCACGGUGAAUACGUUCCCGGGCCUUGUACACACCGCCCGUCACACCAUGGGAGUGGGUUGCUCCAGAAGUAGAUGGCUUAACCUUCGGGAGGGCGUUUACCACGGAGUGAUUCAUGACUGGGGUGAAGUCGUAACAAGGUAGCCGUA